AAAAACCCAAAAAAUGGAAAAAAAAACCAAAAAUGGGCCCGGGGGGGGUACCUGAACAAUGUUGAUUUUUGUGUUUUUUCCCGUUGAUUUUCGGUUUUUUCCCGUAGAUUUUCGGUUUUUUUCCAGGUGAUUUUUGGGUUUUUUCCCGUUGAUUUUCGGGUUUUUUUCCUGCUGAUUUUCGCUUUUUUUCCCGUUGAUUUUCGGGCUCCCCCGGGGCGCCACGGCCGCCCGGCCCAGGCUGAUUUUGGGGUUCCCUUGCUGAUUUUUGAUGAUUUUUUUUCUCCAUUUCUGACGAUCUCCUGUCGAUUUUUGGGGUUUCCUCGCCGAUUUUCGGGUUUUCCUGCUAUUUUCAGUUUUUUUCCGGAUGGUUUUUGGCUGAUUUUGGGGUCUCCUCGCCGAUUUCUGGGUUUUUCCGGAGGAUUUUUGGCUGAUUUUGGGGUCUCCUCGCCGAUUUCUGGGGUUUUUCCGGAUGCUUUCGGGAUUUUUCUGGAUGAUUUUUGGCUGAUUUCGGGGUUUCCACGGCGAUUUCCAGGUUCUUCCCGGAUGAUUUUUGGCUGAUUUUGGGGUCUCCUCGCUGAUUUCUGGGGUUUUCCCGGAUGGUUUUUGGCUGAUUUUGGGGUUCCCUCGCUGAUUUCCGGGUUCUUCCCGGAUGAUUUUU
rnacentral:lncRNA from 12 species